GAUGAACGCUGGCGGCGUGCUUAACACAUGCAAGUCGAACGGAAAGGCUCCUGCUUGCAGGGGCACUCGAGUGGCGAACGGGUGAGUAACACGUGGGUGAUCUGCCCUGCACUUCGGGAUAAGCCUGGGAAACUGGGUCUAAUACCGGAUAGGACCAUCGUUUAGUGCCGGUGGUGGAAAGUUUUUUCGGUGUGGGAUGAGCUCGCGGCCUAUCAGCUUGUUGGUGGGGUAAUGGCCUACCAAGGCGUCGACGGGUAGCCGGCCUGAGAGGGUGUACGGCCACAUUGGGACUGAGAUACGGCCCAGACUCCUACGGGAGGCAGCAGUGGGGAAUAUUGCACAAUGGGCGCAAGCCUGAUGCAGCGACGCCGCGUGGGGGAUGACGGCCUUCGGGUUGUAAACUCCUUUCGCCAGGGACGAAGCGAAAGUGACGGUACCUGGAUAAGAAGCACCGGCUAACUACGUG
rnacentral:rRNA from 1 species